UAUCUCUGUAGAGUCUGCAUAUCAAUAAGCGGAGGAAAAGAAACUAACUAGGAUUCCCUCAGUAACGGCGAGUGAAGCGGGAAGAGCUCAAAUUUGAAAUCUUAAAGGGUUUCCCUUUACGAAUUGUAGUUUAAAGAAGUGUUUUCUGUUGAGGUUUUGGUAAAAGUUCUUUGGAAUAGGACAUCAUAGAGGGUGAGAAUCCCGUAUUUGACCUUUACUUUCAACUUUGUGAUACACUUUCAAAGAGUCGGAUUGUUUGGGAAUGCAGUCCAAAAUGGGUGGUAAAUUUCAUCUAAAGCUAAAUAUUGGCGAGAGACCGAUAGCGAACAAGUACCGUGAGGGAAAGAUGAUAAGAACUUUGAAAAGAGAGUUAAACAGUACGUGAAAUUGUCAAAAGGGAAGCGUUUGACACCAGUGUUGUUUUUCUGAAAAUCAAUUAAAGAACUGUUUAUGCUAAGCUGUUUAGGACUUUAUCAGCUAUCUGUUUAGUUUUGAGCUUUUCUUUAAUGCACUUUUCAGUUAACAAGUCAACAUCAAUUUCUUUUGCUGUAAAAAAGCUUGAGGAAGGUGGCUUGAGAUUCGUCUUAAGUGUUUAUAGCCUCUUGCCUAUGCAGUCGGAGAGAUUGAGGUCUGCAGCGUAGAUCCUUCGGGGCUAAAUGCAUUUGUGCUAAGUUAUAGCAUUUUAUAGACAACUUGUUGACUAUGAUUUGCCUUGUAGCUUACUCGCUUAUGUUAUUUUACCUACGCUUAGGAUGUUGACGAUCAGCUGAGCGCG
rnacentral:rRNA from 1 species